UGUCACCUGGAAACAGCGGAAUAGCCAUUUCCAUCCAUCUAGUUUCUUUUAACUGAACCUUCAAAGAUACGAAUGAUAAUUUAAUGAGAGCCAGCAGCGAGUUCCUUGACUCAUGAAAAGUAGUAAAACGUGUGAGGAGAGGGUUCGCAGCUGAGGCUGCGUGGAUGGGAGGUACUCCGGUUUAGGGACCAGAUGUGAGAGAGAGAGGAGGGGUACAAACUCGUCCAGACAACGGCUACAAAAUGCUUCCUAGUCAACCAGUUUGGUACAAACAAACUGUAAAAGUUGACAGCCCGGACCGACGAUGAAUGCUUCUAUUUUUAGCGUCGAAGGAGAGUGUGACCAAGCAGCGGAGAGCAGCUAAAGAAAGAGAUGCAACCCAUACAGAAACUGCAGUAACAUAGACACCCCACUUUUGACCCUCGUCUCAACUGAUUUUCCAAAGACCAAAGGCCACACAGGU